rfam:Saccharomonospora sp. CTA-673 NODE_6_length_189892_cov_253.703_ID_253, whole genome shotgun sequence.
CCGUGUCCGUCAACUGUGGACAGAUGAAGUGGACGUGGCAGUCGAUACCGCCCGCGGUGAGGAUCCGCCCGUUGCCGGCGACGACCUCCGUGGACGGUCCGAUGACCAGCGCCGGGUCGACACCGUCCAUCGUGUCCGGGUUGCCGGCCUUGCCGAUGCCGACGAUCCGCCCGUCCCGCACGCCGACGUCGGCCUUCACGACGCCCCAGUGGUCGAGGAUCACCGCGCCGGUGAUGACCAGAUCGGGCGCGCCCUCGGCGCGGGUGACGGCCGCCUGGCCCAUCGACUCGCGG